GCCAGACUCCUACGGGAGGCAGCAGUGGGGAAUAUUGGGCAAUGGGCGAAAGCCUGACCCAGCAACGCCGCGUGAAGGAAGAAGGCUUUCGGGUUGUAAAGUUCUUUUGACAGGGAAGAGCAGAAGACGGUGCCCCUUGAAUAAGCCACGGCUAACUACGUGCCAGCAGCCGCGGAAAUACGUAGGUGGCAAGCGUUGUCCGGAUUUACUGGGUGUAAAGGGCGUGCAGCCGGGCCGACAAGUCAGAUGUGAAAUCCGCGGGCGUAACCCGCGAACUGCAUUUGAAACUAUUGGUCUUGAGUACCGGAGAGGUCAUCGGAAUUCCUUGUGUAGCGGUGAAAUGCGUAGAUAUAAGGAAGAACACCAGCGGCGCAGGCGGAUGACUGGACGGCAACUGACGGUGAGGCGCGAAAGCGUGGGGAGCAAACAGGGUUAGAUACCCUCGUAAAC
rnacentral:rRNA from 1 species